UACGUAGGGUGCAAGCGUUAAUCGGAAUUACUGGGCGUAAAGCGCACGUAGGCGGUUCGUUAAGUCGGAUGUGAAAGCCCUCGGCUCAACUGAGGAAGUGCACCCGAAACUGGCGAGCUUGAGUACGAAAGAGGAUCGCGGAAUUCCCGGUGUAGAGGUGAAAUUCGUAGAUAUCGGGAGGAACACCGGUGGCGAAGGCGGCGAUCUGGGUCGAUACUGACGCUGAGGUGCGAAAGCGUGGGGAGCAAACAGGG
rnacentral:rRNA from 1 species